rnacentral:rRNA from 1 species
CGCAUCUGUGCAUGCAGCAUAUCAAUAAGCGGAGGAAAAGAAAACUAACAAGGAUUCCCCUAGUAACGGCGAGUGAAGCGGGAAGAGCUCAAAUUUGAAAUCUUAAAGGGUUUUCCCUUUACGAAUUGUAGUUUUAAAGAAGUGUUUUUCUGUUGAGGUUUUUGGUAAAAGUUCUUUGGAAUAGGACAUCAUAGAGGGUGAGAAUCCCGUAUUUGACCUUUACUUUCAACUUUGUGAUACACUUUCAAAGAGUCGGAUUGUUUGGGAAUGCUAGUCCAAAAAUGGGUGGUAAAUUUCAUCUAAAGCUAAAUAUUGGCGAGAGACCGAUAGCGAACAAGUACCGUGAGGGAAAGAUGAAAAGAACUUUGAAAAGAGAGUUUAAAACAGUACGUGAAAAUUGUCAAAAGGGAAGCGUUUUGACACCAGUGUUUGUUUUUUUCUGAAAAUCAAUUAAAGAAACUGUUUUAUGCUAAGUUGUUUUAGACUUUAUCAGCUAAUCUGUUUUAGUUUUUGAGCUUUUCUUUAAUGCACUUUUUCAGUUAACAAGUCAACAUCAAUUUUCUUUUGCUGUAAAAAAAGCUUGAGGAAGGUGGCUUGAGAUUCGUCUUAAGUGUUUUAUAGCCUCUUGCCUAUGCAGUCGGAGAGAUUGAGGUCUGCAGCGUAGAUCCUUCGGGGCUAAAUGCAUUUGUGCUAAGUUUAUAGCAUUUUCAUAGACAACUUGUUGACUAUGAUUUUGUCUUGUAGCUUACUCGCUUAUGUUAUUUUUACCUACGCUUAGGAUGUUGACAGCAGUAUAGACUGU